CUUUCCUUCUCUGUUAAAGUUAGUUGCUUGAGAUUUUUUGAAGUGUUGAUAUAAUUGAGAUUUUUUUUUUUAAGUGUCACACGCCUACCCCUUUUUUCUUUCUCUCUCUUUUUUUUUUUAAAUUCUUCUCUCUCCUGCCUUCUCUUCUUCUUUCUCGUUAUUUUCUUUUCUUCUCAUCCGAACACCAAGAGAGGCAGAGAUAAGGGAGAAGACCCAGUCGGUGGGCUAGCCAUCGGACUGGGCGGACGACGACGCCGGGCCGGCAGGCACGGCCCCGCACCGUCGACGCCACCAGAGAGCUCAUUUCCGGCGAUUUUUGGACCCCAAAACAGUAAACGAAACUGCUUUGGGUAAAGGACUUCAGCCUUUAUGGCCCACAGCCUUGGAAGAAGUCUUCACAGUGAACUUAUUAUCUGCUUGGAAUCCAGCCUAUUCCCUGUUACAGUGUUGUUAAAAUUGGUCUAUUAAACGAUGAAGGACUGCGUCAUUUAUAAUAGAUACCUUUCAUAGAUUAAAAAUUUAUUGCAGUUUCAGAUUGUAUGGAAAUUCAAAUUAAAAUCUGCCGUAAUCCAACAAGUUAUUGUCAUUA